rnacentral:rRNA from 1 species
UACGGAGGGUGCAAGCGUUGUCCGGAUUUAUUGGGUUUAAAGGGUGCGUAGGCGGCCCGUUAAGUCAGCGGUGAAAUCCCGGGGCUCAACCCCGGAACUGCCGUUGAUAUUGGCGGGCUUGAGUUCGGUGAAGGCGGGCGGAACUGGCGGUGUAGCGGUGAAAUGCUUAGAUACCGCCAAGAACCCCGAUUGCGUAGGCAGCUCGCUGUGCCGAAACUGACGCUGAGGCACGAAAGCGUGGGGAGCGAACAGG